UACGAAGGGGGCUAGCGUUGUUCGGAAUUACUGGGCGUAAAGCGCACGUAGGCGGCUUUGUAAGUUAGAGGUGAAAGCCCGGAGCUCAACUCCGGAACUGCCUUUAAGACUGCAUCGCUUGAAUCCAGGAGAGGUGAGUGGAAUUCCGAGUGUAGAGGUGAAAUUCGUAGAUAUUCGGAAGAACACCAGUGGCGAAGGCGGCUCACUGGACUGGUAUUGACGCUGAGGUGCGAAAGCGUGGGGAGCAAACAGG
rnacentral:rRNA from 1 species